GGCGCGAGGUCCUGUAGUGUAGUGGUUUAUCACUUGCUCUGUCGCAAAGGAUGGGACCGCCAAUUCCUAGAGGUACCUGCGCUAGGUUCGAUUCCUAGCGUGCCU
rnacentral:tRNA from 1 species